ACUCAGAGAGGACGAACUGGUCUAUUCAGCCGAGCUGAUUGCGAUCAGGGAGGCCCUCAGAGUGU